rnacentral:lncRNA from 1 species
GGAUGUAUGCAUACAGUAUUCCUCCUCAUUGCUGGGCUGUCAGACCUGUCAAUCAGAGGCAUUAGCCCAUCCAGGCCGACUCCAACUCUAAAAGACACUUAGAACAAACACCUAACAAAAACAAUUCAAGAAAAGAGAGCAUAGAGCCUUGUAUAGUGGCUGGAGCAAGCCUUUAAUCUCACCUCUUGAGAGACAGAGACAGGCAGAUCUCUUGCUCUACAAGUCAACAAUUGCAGCCUACACUAAGGAGAGAACACAUGGUGAGGAUAAUGAAAGCCAGACCCGAGCUGACUCAAGGAAGGGGUGAAAAGACGAACGCUCCAUGUUGCGUAAGCAGACAGGUCCUGGUGUGCAGUCCCACAGCACAUGCUGGCAGUGGAAUUCCUCACGGGGGAGCACCCGCCUUCCUAUCUGCAUUCAAUAAAGAUAGUUCUCCCAAUCC